GGCUCUCUACCCUGCAGGUGCGGUUGCAACGCCCACGCGGAAUAGCAUCUAAACGGGAAGGCUUCAGCGAGCGUGGUGAGCCAGCCUGCCGUUGAGCAGGACGCCUAAAGCGCUCAUAAGCCCGCCCACCUGUCUGGCCGUCGACGUGAGGCCACGAACCCACGGCAGGCGUGGAGAGUUA
rnacentral:other from 1 species